rnacentral:rRNA from 1 species
GAUGAACGCUGGCGGCGUGCCUAAUACAUGCAAGUCGAGCGAACGGACGAGAAGCUUGCUUUUCUGAUGUUAGCGGCGGACGGGUGAGUAACACGUGGAUAACCUACCUAUAAGACUGGGAUAACUUCGGGAAACCGGAGCUAAUACCGGAUAAUAUUUUGAACCGCAUGGUUCAAAAGUGAAAGACGGUCUUGCUGUCACUUAUAGAUUGAUCCGCGCUGCAUUAGCUAGUUGGUAAGGGAACGGCUUACCAAGGCAACGAUGCAUAGCCGACCUGAGAGGGAGAACGGACACACGGGAAGUGAGAAACGGCAGAGACACCGACGGGAGGAAGCGGUAGGGAAUCUUACGCGAUGGGGGAAAGCCUGACGGAGCAACGCCGGGUGAGUGAUGAAGGUCUUCGGAUGGGAAAACUCUGUUAUUAGGGAAGAACAUAUGUGUAAGUAACUGUGCAGAUCUUGACGGUACCGAAUCAGAAAGCCACGGCUAACUACGUG